rnacentral:lncRNA from 1 species
UUUUAAGAAAAAUAUGAAAGUUAAGUAGGAAAAAUAAAAUAUUACUUUCAUUGUUUAUGGAAGCUAAAAGUAUUUUAGAAAUAUUUUUAGUAAGUUUAUGAAAAAGGAUAAAAAGUCUUAACUCAACUAGGUUAAUGUAAUAAACUCCUUUUAUAUAAGAAGAGCAUGUGUGUUAUCUUCCAUCUACACUAAGCAAGCCGAUAUGUAAGGUUGAGAGAGAGAUAGAGAAGUCUUUAAUCUUUGUUGUAAUAUCAUAGUGGAUUGACUCUUUGUCAUGCCCCCAUAGACAUAGUCAUUCUAGGUGAACUCUAGAUAAACAUUGGCUUGUGUUUAUCUUCUAUUUCCGUCCUAUUAUUCUACUUAUCUCUAUAAUUAUGCAAACUUAUACUUUCUAACUUAUGUUGACGACUUCUUCAAAGAAUGUGUUAGUGUAUUUGAUUCUGGUGCUAAAUCAAACUGAUUUUCUAUCCAGGAACAAAACAAAAAUUCAAAAACAAAAAUCUAAUAUCACCAUUCGUGUUAAAAAAACUAAAAUCUACUGGAAAACCAUAAACCAAAAUUCAAAAACUUAAAACCAAAAGGUAAAAAACAAAAAAAGCAAAAUCUAAAAAACUGUGUAUCCAAUCAGAGACUUGACGAGAAAAAAAUAAACCAUGUAGGACAAGCUUCGUGUAAAGCUAUUGUCUGGUUCAAAUCAAUUUUUUUUAUAAACCGAACUGGCAACCAACUGGAAAAUUUUUGGAUCAUAGGUCAAUAUAGUUUGGCCGGAUUCAGUUGGGUUCAACAACAUUAAAUUAAAUUAUAUUUUAAAUAAUAUACAUAUUCUUUAAAAAAUAUCAUAUCAAAUAAAAUAUUUCAGUAACCAAUUAUUAAAAAAAAAACUGAAAUGUAAUAAAAUAAUUUAAUAUUUUAAAUCUAUAAUAAUAUGAAAAAAAACACAUUUAAACAUUGUUCUCGAGGUCUUCAUCACUCUAAAUCUUAUUCACCGUUAAAACAAAUCAUGUAAACUAAGUUUUUAUUUGUUAGUGUGAGAAGCAAGAAUAAGUACAAUGGUUUGUACUUUUAUACAUAUUUGGAAUUUCAUG